UAAACCCAUCAUCAACCAAACUCACAAACAAGAACAAGAAGAACAAGGAUUCUGCUUUGGAUAUAUUACACAGAGACAUAUAGAGAGAGAGGUGUCUUGAUCUUGAAAAAAAAUGGCUUACGAGAAAGUCAAUGAGCUUAACCUUAAGGACACAGAGCUUCGUCUUGGAUUACCCGGAACGGAGCAAGAUAAGGAAGAACAAGAGGUUUCUUGCGUUAGAAGCAACAAGCGUCAACUACAGAGCGAUAACGAGGAAGAAUCUACACUUCCUACGAAGUAAGUGAAGAUUUGAGUUUCAAUCUAUUGUUUAAAAUUAUCUAUGAAUUAUUGUACUGAAUCAUCAUUUUUUUAAUCUCCUUUCUUUGGUCCUUUAUAAUAAUAGUAUAUCCUUUGUAAAAGAAGUGUAAAGACAUCGACGGCAAAGAGGUAGCGUAAGCAAAGUUGGCGGAGGCAAAUAAGGAGCGUGGAAUAAAGAAAGAGUCGAGUCCACAUGGGCGGCCAUAGCGUUUGUGUCCCACCUUUGUCCCCUUGCCUCUUUCUUGCCUUUCAUGCUCCCGACAACAUCUCUCUCUCUUCCUUUAACCCUAACUUCUAUGCAUCUUCUCCCUCCUGUAUAUAUCUCUCUUUCUCUAAACCCAUCAUCAACCAAACUCACAAACAAGAACAAGAAGAACAAGGAUUCUGCUUUGGAUAUAUUACACAGAGACAUAUAGAGAGAGAGGUGUCUUGAUCUUGAAAAAAAAUGGCUUACGAGAAAGUCAAUGAGCUUAACCUUAAGGACACAGAGCUUCGUCUUGGAUUACCCGGAACGGAGCAAGAUAAGGAAGAACAAGAGGUUUCUUGCGUUAGAAGCAACAAGCGUCAACUACAGAGCGAUAACGAGGAAGAAUCUACACUUCCUACGAAGUAAGUGAAGAUUUGAGUUUCAAUCUAUUGUUUAAAAUUAUCUAUGAAUUAUUGUACUGAUGAUGAUUCUUUGCUAAUUUACAGAACUCAAAUCGUUGGUUGGCCUCCGGUGAGAUCUUACCGUAAAAACAACAACAGUGUGAGCUAUGUGAAAGUGAGUAUGGAUGGAGCUCCAUACCUUAGGAAAAUAGAUCUCAAGACAUACAAAAACUAUCCAGAGCUUCUCAAGGCAUUAGAGAACCUGUUCAAGUUCACGAUCGGUGAAUACAGCGAAAGAGAAGGAUACAAAGGAUCUGGAGUUGUACCAACGUACGAGGAUAAAGAUGGAGAUUGGAUGUUGGUUGGUGAUGUUCCAUGGGAUAUGUUCUCUUCCUCUUGUAAGAGACUCAGGAUCAUGAAAGGAUCUGAUGCUCUUGCUUUGGACUCGGCCUUAUGAUGAUGAUGAUGAUGAUGAUGAAAGCUUUUGAUGGAUGAAACCCUUUUUGAUUUGAUUCUGAUCGGAGUUUGAGUAGUUGACCACACCAAAAACAGAACAUGUCAGGGUUUUGUUCGAUGAGAUAGAUCCAUCUUCAAGGGGUUUUCUUUUUGUUUUGUUUGAUCCUUGUUUUUAGAUUUGCAGCUUGUUGUAAAGAUAGAUGAAAUUUUUGUACAAUACGGACAUAUACACAAUAUAGAUGCGUAUGUAGCAAUGUUUUGACGAAAAGAGUCUUUAAUUUCAUAGUGAUAUCUACAAUAAUUUACAAUAAAGAACCUCAUAGUAUUCUUUAGGAGAGGGCAAAAUAAGGGUUUGGAUUCGAUCAGGAAAUUUUGGAUAUUUGUAACUCCAACAAAAAAAAAUACUUACAUUUAAUUAUAGUUAAAAACUGAAAAAAUUAUAAUUACUAAAAUUUUAGAAGAUAUAUGUGUUUAUUAUAUUUAUAUGAAAGUUUGAUAUAUUUUCGCUAAAUUAUUUAUUUAUUUAUUUAUUAAAAAGUAAAAUUAAAUUACAUUUUAUUUCGUAAUGAACAUUAUUAUAAUAUGUCAAAUUUCGAAUUUUUUAAUAAAAAAUAUUUUUACAUUUAAAAAAGAUUAAUCAAGAAACAGGCCUGAUAAGAGUUUCCAAAGCCCAAUUGACUUGAGUCCAUUGAUUUUGGUUAUGUGCUAUGACGGGGCGAAUCUAGCCCAUUUAAAUUAUGGGUGCACUAUUGAUAGAAAAACAUAAAAAUACAUUAGACAAGGAUCGAACCUAAGAAACUGAGGGUGCACAUACUUCUUUUUACCAUAUAAGCUAACCAAAUUUUGAUGUUUCUACGUGUAAAAUACUAAAUUUUAAAAUAAUUGUGGGUGCACAUGUCCCCUCAUCCUUUAACUUGGCUUCGCCAGGUGUUUCCACCUUCGAUGAUCAGAUAAGUGGAGAAGGUGAAAUCUACAUAAAGCUUGAAUGAAUUGGUACAUUUGAUAUAGCAACGAAAUUAUACAUAGUAUUAAUUUAAUUUAUUUUACUUCGUAAGUCAAGCUAGGCAAGAUUGUUUUGCGUGAAAUUUCGACAGGAAGACACUUGUUUCCAGUUAAUUGGGAAAUAAUUAAUAACUAGAAUAAGACAUGCGCUAGUGCGCAUAAUGAUUUUGUUUGUAUAUAUUAUCGAUAAUUCUUUUUAUAUAUUUGUUUAUUUUGUUAAUGCAUAUACAAUAUUUUUUGCUAAUAUUAUAUAAUUUCUUUCUGAUAGAUCGGAUUAAUUUUUAUUAAAAGUUGUGGAACUAAAUUAUAAUUAAUAUAUCAUAGGUUGAUUGGAUUUAAACAAAUUGUGACACAAAAACCUUAUUUUUUUCACCGGACACAUUAUUGAAAAAAAUGAAUAGUAAUGUUUCCACAGUUGAAUUGUUUUGACAUUGAUCUUCCAUAUGGUUUUGACAUGUUUCAGAUCAACAAUCAAAUUAAUACAUGUCAUUUUAAUGAUUUUAGUCGUAUGGUUAAGUAAAACUUACAUUUUUGUAAUUUAAAUUUGUUUUAAAAAAAUUCAGAAUAUAACAUAUAAGAAAAAAUCUAACAUAUAAGAAAAAAUCUAACAUAUAAGAAAAAUAUAACAUAUAAGAUUUCCUCAUUUUUGUAAAUUAAAGUCGUUUUAAACAAAAAUUAAAUUAUAACAUAUAAGGUUUCCUCAUUUUUGUAAUUUAAAGUCAUUUUAAAAAUUUUAAAAUAUAACAUAUAAGUAAAAAAACUAGUUUUUUAAUUAUAUGGUUAAUGUGAUUAUUUUAAUUUUUUUAAUAAUAUAAAAUUUAAAAAAAAAUGAAGAAUGAUGCAAAAAUUGUUAUAAAUUUUUUAUUAUUCAUAGUCAUUAACUGUCAUAUAUAUGUUAAUACUAUUAGGUAAUUUCGUAGUUUUUAUUUAAAGAAAUAAUACAUGUUUCUUAUAUUUUGAGUUAAUAUAAUGUUUCUUAAUAACUGGAUUUGAACCAACAUUUUUUCAAUUAAUUCUUAAGCUGUCAUGUAAACUAAAUUGUCAUCCUAAUUAAGUGAUACCUAAACAGUGUCUCUUUUUAAUUAGUACAAACUUAAUGUUAUAAUUUUUUUAAUAGUCCUCAAUUAAUAUAUAGGGAUUCAUAUAAUCAUAUUUAACAUGUUUAAUGAGGGGUCGUACAUAUUUAUAAUAUAUUUUUUUUUUUAUUGCUAUCUUAGCUUAACUGGUCAUGCAUGUUUCGUAUGUUUUUGAUACUGCUAGUACAUUCAAGUCUAGUUUUGUAUAAUCUAAGUCUGUAAUCUAAUUUUCAACAGUGGUGAUAUAUAUAUUAAUGGGAAAAUUAGGGCACGAAUAAUUAAGAAUUGCAAUUCUAUACUAAGAAAAAUGAGUUGAAAACAUGUUUUGAAAGUUUAAUCCUGCGAGUUAAAACAUUUUGAGGCACCUUUUUCUUAAUAUUUGCAAAUCUAAUGUCUUAACUUUUUAUCAUAUUCAUUACUGCAUUUUGCCGCGUGCCAAUUAACAUAAGUGCACGCUACUACAAUCGAAUGGUAUAUCGAUGCAGUAUUGUAUGAUUGAAUCCAUAAAAAACUAGUGGUAUAUAACAAUAAGAAUACACAAACUUUUCUAAUCUAAGCAAAUAAGAAGAUGGAUGAUUUGUAACAAUCUAAGUAAUGACAGUAGUGAUCAUGGGCCUUUGGAGAAAGUGAAAGAGCAGUCUCAAGCCCACACGGUCACCACCAAAGUUCAGCCUAAUCCUCCUCUGUCGUCUAGUGUCAAACAGAAAGCAUUCAAGGUUCAAUCUUCUUGCUCCAGUACGACGAGGCCAGCUAAUGGCAUAACGGUUGGAAAUAGAUUUGAGUGUCUUGGUACACAGCCUGUCAUGUGCUGAGUCAGAGUAGAGGAUAAGAUCUUAUGUCUCUAUAUAAUGUAAAACGUGAACAUGUAAUCAGCAAGCAAGAAAGUAAUAAAAGUUAAAACGUUCUUCUUCACAAAACUCUAAGUUUUUUCAUGGUAUCAGAGCCAUGGAGGACUCUGACGCUAUUUCUACGCCAUCACUGAGUAUCUCUCAGUGUGUGACGUUAAAACUCACAUCUUCCAACUACUUGCUUUGGAAGACACAGUUCGAAUCCUUUCUUUACAGUCAAUCCUUGCUCGGUUUUCUCAAUGGAGGUUCUCUUCGCCCUGCUCCAACGGUAACGGUUCAAGAAGGAGAUGGAGUCACAGAGCAGCCUAAUCCUGAGUUUCAGAAGUGGAUGCGCAAAGACCAGCUUGUCAUGGCUUGGUUGUUCGGUUCUCUGUCUGAGGAUGCUCUCAGAUCUGUCUACGGUCUCACGUCAGCUCAGGAGGUCUGGUUCUGCCUUGGAAAGAAGUACAAUCGUGUCUCAGCUACAAGAAAACUAGAUCUCCAACGUAAGCUUCAAGGUAUGACUAAAAGCCAAAGAACCAUGACAGAGUAUCUAGGAGAGAUUAAGAGUAUCUGUGACCAGUUAGACUCUAUAGGGUGUAGCAUGACUGAGCAUGAGAUGAUAUAUGGUGCGUUGAGCGGUUUAGGGAAAGAGUAUGAAUCCAUAUGUACGGUUAUUGAGCAUUCUAUGGAUUCGGUUACUGAGAUGACGUUUGAAGAUGCUGUGUUCAAGCUCACUACCUUUGAUGAUAAGCUUCAGGUCUAUAACCAAAGUGCCACAGUUAAUCCUCAUCUUGCCUUUCAUGUUGGAAGGGGUUACUCUAACAACAGAGGCAGAGGAGGUUACACUAACAGAGGGGAUUAUAGAGGUGGUCGAAGCAACAACAACUACUCCACAAGGGGACGUGGCUUUCAACAGCAGUUCUCAAGUGGUAAUGGUCGUGACAAUGUUAGCUCAGGGUCCGGUUCCAACAACAGACCUACCUGCCAAAUCUGUGGGCGGUAUGGUCAUUCAGCUGCGAGAUGCUACAAUCGCUAUGAUCAAGAGUCUCAGUCUUCAGAUAACCUACCCAAUGCGCUCACCACAAUGAGACUUUCUGAUCAAGAACACAGUACCGGUCAAGAAUGGUAUCCAGAUUCUGCUGCGUCUGCCCACAUUACAAGCAACCAGUCUCAGUUAACGUCAGCAGAACCCUAUCUUGGGAAUGAUCAAGUGAUCGUUGGGAAUGGAGAUUACCUGCCAAUCACGCAUGUUGGAUCUGUCGCCUUACACACACAACAAGGUACUCUUCCUCUUGAUGAUGUGUUAGUCUGUCCUGGAAUAACAAAGUCUUUGAUAUCGGUUUCAAAACUCACUUCAGACUAUCCAUGUGAAGUUACAUUUGAUUCUGAAACUGUUUUUGUUAAGGACAAGCAAACAAAACAGGUGAUAACUCAAGGCAGAAGGGAUAAGGAUCUGUAUAUGUUGAAGGAUGCAAGAUAUCAAGCUUUUUAUUCUACAAGACAGAGAGCUACAAGUGUGGAGAUUUGGCAUCAAAGGCUAGGCCAUCCUCACAAGGACAUCCUUCAGCAGUUAGCCAGGAGUAACGCUAUCAGUUUGAAUAAAGGGGGGACAUUGGAGCUCUGUGAAGCGUGUCAGAUUGGCAAGAGUUGCAGGCUUCCUUUUCUUCUUUCAGAAACUUUUUCUAAUAGACCUUUAGAGAAGAUACAUUGUGACUUAUGGGGACCUAGUCCAGUUGUUUCUGCUCAAGGAUUUGGAUUACCCGGAAUAGAGCAAGAUAAGGAAGAACAAGAGGUUUCUUGCGUUAGAAGCAACAAGCGUCAACUACAAAGCGAUAACGAGGAAGAAUCUACACUUCCUACGAAGUAAGUAAAGAUUUGAGUUUCAAUCUAUUGUUUCAAAUUAUCUAUGAAUUGUUGUACUAAUGAUGAUUCUUUGCUAAUUUACAGAACUCAAAUCGUUGGUUGGCCUCCGGUGAGAUCUUACCGUAAAAACAACAACAGUGUGAGCUAUGUGAAAGUGAGUAUGGAUGGAGCUCCAUACCUUAGGAAAAUAGAUCUCAAGACAUACAAAAACUAUCCAGAGCUUCUCAAGGCAUUAGAGAACCUGUUCAAGUUCACGAUCGGUGAAUACAGCGAAAGAGAAGGAUACAAAGGAUCUGGAGUUGUACCAACGUACGAGGAUAAAGAUGGAGAUUGGAUGUUGGUUGGUGAUGUUCCAUGGGAUAUGUUCUCUUCCUCUUGUAAGAGACUCAGGAUCAUGAAAGGAUCUGAUGCUCUUGCUUUGGACUCGGCCUUAUGAUGAUGAUGAUGAUGAUGAUGAAAGCUUUUGAUGGAUGAAACCCUUUUUGAUUUGAUUCUGAUCGGAGUUUGAGUAGUUGACCACACCAAAAACAGAACAUGUCAGGGUUUUGUUCGAUGAGAUAGAUCCAUCUUCAAGGGGUUUUCUUUUUGUUUUGUUUGAUCCUUGUUUUUAGAUUUGCA
rnacentral:lncRNA from 1 species